rnacentral:rRNA from 1 species
UAACNANGUUUCCGUAGGUGAACCUGCGGAAGCAUCAUUA